rnacentral:rRNA from 1 species
GACGAACGCUGGCGGCGUGCUUAACACAUGCAAGUCGAACGGAAAGGCCCUGCUUUUGUGGGGUGCUCGAGUGGCGAACGGGUGAGUAACACGUGAGUAACCUGCCCUUGACUUUGGGAUAACUUCAGGAAGCUGGGGCUAAUACCGGAUAGGAGCUCCUGCUGCAUGGUGGGGGUUGGAAAGUUUCGGCGGUUGGGGAUGGACUCGCGGCUUAUCAGCUUGUUGGUGGGGUAGUGGCUUACCAAGGCUUUGACGGGUAGCCGGCCUGAGAGGGUGACCGGCCAAAUGGGGACUGGGAUACGGCCCAGACUCCUAGGGGAGGAAGAAGGGGGGAAUAUUGCACAAGGGGGGGAAGCCUGAUGCAGAAACGCCGGGGGCGGGAUGACGGCCUUGGGGUGGUAAACCGCUUUCGCCUGUGACGAAGCGGGAGUGACGGUAAGGGGGAAAGAAGCACCGGCUAACUACGG